AAACCAUGAUGAGGGCACCUUCUCAGAAGAUCCUCAAAUCUCUCUCGUGCAUCAUAUAAUGUUUCCAACUCAAUUUGAGAUAAAGAAGAGUUGUUGUUCCUCAACUU
rfam:Gossypium arboreum cultivar AKA8401 contig_92563_1, whole genome shotgun sequence.